rnacentral:rRNA from 1 species
UACGAAGGGGGCUAGCGUUGCUCGGAAUUACUGGGCGUAAAGCGCACGUAGGCGGCUUUCUAAGUCGGGGGUGAAAUCCUGGAGCUCAACUCCAGAACUGCCUUCGAUACUGGAAAGCUCGAGUCCGGGAGAGGUGAGUGGAACUGCGAGUGUAGAGGUGAAAUUCGUAGAUAUUCGCAAGAACACCGGUGGCGAAGGCGGCCCGCUGGGCAGGAAGACCUCGUAAGAGGUCGGCUGACACUGAGGCGCGACAGCGUGGGGAGCAAACAGGG